CGCGGGGUGGAGCAGCCUGGUAGCUCGCGAGGCUCAUAACCUCGAGGUCGUGGGUUCAAAUCCCACCCCCGCAACCA
rnacentral:tRNA from 1 species